CCUACGGGGGGCAGCAGUGGGGAAUAUUGGACAAUGAGGGGAACCCUGAUCCAGCCAUGCCGCGUGUGUGAAGAAGGCCCUCGGGUUGUAAAGCACUUUCAGUGAGGAAGAACGCCUGGUGGUUAAUACCCAUCAGGAAAGACAUCACUCACAGAAGAAGCACCGGCUAACUCCGUGCCAGCAGCCGCGGUAAUACGGAGGGUGCGAGCGUUAAUCGGAAUUACUGGGCGUAAAGCGCGCGUAGGUGGCUUGAUAAGCCGGUUGUGAAAGCCCCGGGCUCAACCUGGGAACGGCAUCCGGAACUGUCAAGCUAGAGUGCAGGAGAGGAAGGUAGAAUUCCCGGUGUAGCGGUGAAAUGCGUAGAGAUCGGGAGGAAUACCAGUGGCGAAGGCGGCCUUCUGGACUGACACUGACACUGAGGUGCGAAAGCGUGGGUAGCAAACAGGAUUAGAUACCCUUGUAGUC
rnacentral:rRNA from 1 species